CAGCUGUCUUCGUCUAGCUAUUGCUUUUCUGGAACACAAAUACUGGACCAUCCCAACAAUUCUUGGCUGUCUGACAAGAGAGGACUCUAAUCUAACUGUCUACUCAAGCAAACCAUCUGGAAAUGGAACCUGCUAGCUAAGGUCUUCCAAGCUAUGACAGGAAGAAGCAAAGCAUAUUUCUGCGAUGCCCACAUUCUGCUUCUGAAGUCCAGCUUCCAUCUCCUACCAGGAGUCUGUAAAGAAACAGUCUUUCCAUUGAUUAUACUUAUGUGGUUUUCCUGCUGUUAUUUUCUGCAUGUAAAAAGAGCACCAACAUAUUUUCAACCUGAGGAUCCAGUGAAGUUUCUUG
rnacentral:lncRNA from 1 species